CACCUAUGUUAAGCGUUCGAUAGCAAAAAAAUGGCUGACGUCGGUCAGCUGUUUCGAGUUUGACGCUUGUUGCCAAAGUCAGUAUGUACUUAGAAGUAAACAACAUUUCGACUUUGUAGCCCAUCAUUUUCGUUUCAAGAAGUAAUUUUAUUUAGUUACGUAUUAAAAAUGCAAGCUAGGCUGCUUUAGGUAGAAAAAUGUGUCGUCAGAAAUUCGAUCCGUAUUUUCUGGAUAAUGAUGAAUUCCGUAAACGGUAUUAUUUUUCCAAACAUACGGCUGCAUUUAUAAGUGACUGAUAGUCCGCGAAGAGUUGCAGCUUCACCGUAUAGUUUGUGGCAGAUCACCAGAAUUGCAAGUAUUAAUUAACUGCAUUGACAUGUUGGGAUCGUCAUGAGAGGAACCCUUGUUAAGGCUGGAAUUUCACCAUGUAAAAGGCUUCCCAUCUAUAAUUGGUUGUAUUUAUUACGCCCAUAUAAAAUUAAAAUAUAUGGUGGUGAUGCAACCUGAUAUUAUAUAGAAAAGGAUAUUAUUCCCUCGAUGUUGUUGUUCAGGUGACUUGUGAUGCUAAUCAGAUCAGAGAUAUUGUUAGAUGGCAAAGCAGCACUCAUAACUCCCGGAUAUUGCAACAAGAACUUUGGUGUGUGAAAACAGCAUUUUCAAUGUCUGUUUCAUGGCAUAUCUAAAAUUUGACAAUGUGAAGACUACUAUUGUGGCUCUUGCAGUGUUGCACAACAUUGCAAUUGCUCAAA